ACGGAAGGCAGCAGUGGGGAAUAUUGCACAAUGGGCGAAAGCCUGAUGCAGCGACGCCGCGUGAGCGAAGAAGUAUUUCGGUAUGUAAAGCUCUAUCAGCAGGGAAGAUAAUGACGGUACCUGACUAAGAAGCACCGGCUAAAUACGUGCCAGCAGCCGCGGUAAUACGUCUGGUGCAAGCGUUAUCCGGAUUUACUGGGUGUAAAGGGAGCGCAGGCGGUACGGCAAGUCUGAUGUGAAAGCCCGGGGCUCAACCCCGGUACUGCAUUGGAAACUGUCGAACUAGAGUGUCGGAGGGGUAAGUGGAAUUCCUAGUGUAGCGGUGAAAUGCGUAGAUAUUAGGAGGAACACCAGUGGCGAAGGCGGCUUACUGGACGACAACUGACGCUGAGGCUCGAAAGCGUGGGGAGCAAACAGGAUUAGAUACCCUGGUA
rnacentral:rRNA from 1 species